rnacentral:rRNA from 1 species
AUUGAACGCUGGCGGCAUGCCUUACACAUGCAAGUCGAACGGCAGCACGGGUGCUUGCACCUGGUGGCGAGUGGCGAACGGGUGAGUAAUACAUCGGAACAUGUCCUGUAGUGGGGGAUAGCCCGGCGAAAGCCGGAUUAAUACCGCAUACGAUCUACGGAAGAAAGCGGGGGACAUUCGGGCCUCGCGCUAUAGGGUUGGCCGAUACCUGAUUGGCUAGUUGGUGGGGUAAAGGCCUACCAAGGCGACGAUCAGUAGCUGGUCUGAGAGGACGACCAGCCACACUGGGACUGAGACACGGCCCAGACUCCUACGGGAGGCAGCAGUGGGGAAUUUUGGACAAUGGGCGAAAGCCUGAUCCAGCAAUGCCGCGUGUGUGAAGAAGGCCUUCGGGUUGUAAAGCACUUUUGUCCGGAAAGAAAUCCUUGGCUCUAAUACAGUCGGGGGAUGACGGUACCGGAAGAAUAAGCACCGGCUAACUACGUG